rnacentral:rRNA from 1 species
CAUGCAAGUCGAACGGCAGCACAGGAGAGCUUGCUCUCUGGGUGGCGAGUGGCGGACGGGUGAGGAAUACAUCGGAAUCUACUCUGUCGUGGGGGAUAACGUAGGGAAACUUACGCUAAUACCGCAUACGACCUACGGGUGAAAGCAGGGGAUCUUCGGACCUUGCGCGAUUGAAUGAGCCGAUGUCGGAUUAGCUAGUUGGCGGGGUAAAGGCCCACCAAGGCGACGAUCCGUAGCUGGUCUGAGAGGAUGAUCAGCCACACUGGAACUGAGACACGGUCCAGACUCCUACGGGAGGCAGCAGUGGGGAAUAUUGGACAAUGGGCGCAAGCCUGAUCCAGCCAUACCGCGUGGGUGAAGAAGGCCUUCGGGUUGUAAAGCCCUUUUGUUGGGAAAGAAAUCCAGCUGGUUAAUACCCGGUUGGGAUGACGGUACCCAAAGAAUAAGCACCGGCUAACUUCGUGCCAGCAGCCGCGGUAAUACGAAGGGUGCAAGCGUUACUCGGAAUUACUGGGCGUAAAGCGUGCGUAGGUGGUUAUUUAAGUCCGUUGUGAAAGCCCCGGGCUCAACCUGGGAACUGCAGUGGAUACUGGAUGACUAGAAUGUGGUAGAGGGUAGCGGAAUUCCUGGUGUAGCAGUGAAAUGCGUAGAGAUCAGGAGGACAUCCAUGGCGAAGGCAGCUACCUGGACCAA